UCAGUUUAUGCCUUUGCAUCUCUGUGUUCCAGUUUCAAGAAGUUAAGACAGAGUUAAGGAAGAUAACUGGAGAUGUGAUAAAGAUGGCAGCAGUGUUAGCUGUAGUCCAUGAUCAUGUUUUGGUUUCUGGUUCCAAAAUGAUCUGGAAGUGACGAGUCUGAUGAGCCAGAGCUUGAUGGUGUUGCAGUGGGCCUCCUUACUGUCAUUAGUGACCAUGACACAAGUCCAGUUCACUACCACCCUGUGAGAAUCUCUGUUGUUGUUGAAAGUGAUGCCGUGGUUAGCCUCCCCAGACUUGGCGAUGCCUUCCUGGUAAUCUUUGGACUGAUCUAUGCACUACACCUCAGCUAUCCCAAAGCACUGACAAACACUUGAAUUCACUCAAAAGAUUUUACUUGGUCUAGAUAGUGGUAAACUGUCACCCAGGUUGCAGACCCUCAAGAAUGACUUGGAUGUAGAAACUCAUCUGAAAGAAGGCUAAAGCAUUAUAAAAGGCUAGUUGAACAUUAUGUCCUUUUGUCUAAAUAAUGCCUCAAAAAGAUACUGCACUACUU
ensembl:lncRNA